GUAAUCUCCACACCCAAGGUGGGGCUCGAACUCAUGACUCUGAGAUCAAGAGUUGCAUGCUGUUUUGACUGAAUCAGCCAGGCAUCGCAAGACAGACAUCUGAGUGCUUAUUUUACCUGUAACAUGGGCCUGGAAGAUUGGCAUGAGUUGUUAAAAUAACGUGUGUCCACUACAAUGCCAGCCACAGGUACUUACGGAAGGUCAGCCAUGGUUUCAGGAACAUAGCGAUCAACACAGCAAAACCUCUACACUCUGGAGUCUUCCUUCUGGAGAGCAGAAGAGGGUAUUAAUGACUGCUGUGAACAGUAAUACCAAAUAAUAGUAAUUGAAGGAAAAUUUUAAUCUGUGAACAAUUCUUUUCAACUAUCAAUAUCUCUUUUCAGUCAGUAUUUGCAGCCUCUGCCUCAUCAAAUAUUCUCUUCAGAAGAAUGGGGGGCACAGCAGAAGAGUUGAGUCCCAGGCCUGGUUCUACAGACCUGAGCGAAUACGAAACCUUGCUGGGCCUCCCUCUGCUCAGUAAGCGGUGAUCACACGGCCUCCAAGCAGGCGGUGAGGCUCUUAGUAAAAUGGGAACACUUUAUCAUUGUGUAAAGGUAAGGCUCUUUGUGUAAACGUGUAAUAAUCUCUUUAGGCAAAUCUU